rnacentral:rRNA from 1 species
AUUGAACGCUGGCGGCAGGCCUAACACAUGCAAGUCGAACGGUAACAGGAAACAGCUUGCUGUUUCGCUGACGAGUGGCGGACGGGUGAGUAAUAUCUGGGAAACUGCCUGAUGGAGGGGGAUAACUACUGGAAACGGUAGCUAAUACCGCAUAACGUCGCAAGACCAAAGAGGGGGACCCUCGGGCCUCUUGCCAUCGGAUGUGCCCAGAUGGGAUUAGCUUGUUGGUGGGGUAACGGCUCACCAAGGCGACGAUCCCUAGCUGGUCUGAGAGGAUGACCAGCCACACUGGAACUGAGACACGGUCCAGACUCCUACGGGAGGCAGCAGUGGGGAAUAUUGCACAAUGGGCGCAAGCCUGAUGCAGCCAUGCCGCGUGUAUGAAGAAGGCCUUCGGGUUGUAAAGUACUUUCAGCGGGGAGGAAGGGAGUAAAGUUAAUACCUUUGCUCAUUGACGUUACCCGCAGAAGAAGCACCGGCUAACUCCGUG